rnacentral:rRNA from 1 species
AGCAUGUGGUUUAAUUCGAUGCAACGCGAAGAACCUUACCUACUCUUGACAUCCAGAGAACUUUCCAGAGAUGGAUUGGUGCCUUCGGGAACUCUGAGACAGGUGCUGCAUGGCUGUCGUCAGCUCGUGUUGUGAAAUGUUGGGUUAAGUCCCGCAACGAGCGCAACCCUUAUCCUUUGUUGCCAGCGCGUGAUGGCGGGAACUCAAAGGAGACUGCCGGUGGGUGAUAAACCGGAGGAAGGUGGGGAUGACGUCAAGUCAUCAUGGCCCUUACGAGUAGGGCUACACACGUGCUACAAUGGCGUAUACAAAGGGAAGCGACCCCGCGAGGGCAAGCGGAACUCAUAAAGUACGUCGUAGUCCGGAUUGGAGUCUGCAACUCGACUCCAUGAAGUCGGAAUCGCUAGUAAUCGUAGAUCAGAAUGCUACGGUGAAUACGUUCCCGGGCCUUGUACACACCGCCCGUCACACCAUGGGAGUGGGUUGCAAAAGAAGUAGGUAGCUAACCUCCGGGAGGGCGCUACCACUUUCGUGAUUCAGACUGGGGUGGUCUAGCAUNGACUGCA